CCUACCCUAAUAUCUCUACCCCCUCUACCUUAUCCUUUUCUCUCCCGAUCUGAGUGGUGGCGGCGGCGAAUCCCAUCCUCUUCCUCCACUCCUCUCCCCCAAAUCGAGCUCUGCCCAGAAGCGGAGGAAGGUCUCGCCGCCACGAUGCGAAGGAAGGUCUCACCGUCCUGUCGAUUUAGAUGCAUGAAGCAGUCGAGCUCCACCCCGAAGUGGAGGAAAAGGUACGUACGCGGUCGUCGAUCUGGGCGCAUCUAGCCAUGGAUGGCUCGCCCCUCUUUGACGGCUCCUCCGCACGAAGCUAAUUAGUAUGGUGCCCAUGGUCACCGAGGCGUGGACACUCGUUGGAUGCGGCGGGGCGGCGGCGUCCAAGCCGGCCGCGGUGGCGCAGGAGGUGCCCGCGCUGCUGCAUCCUGUCGCCAAGAAACCCAUCUCGUUGAGAGGGGUGGCCGCGGCGAGCAGCGCAUGCCAGGACGCCGCUGUCGUCGUCGGGAGGUGCCGCGGCAUCGCGUCGUGCCUGCUAGCCGCGCUCGCGCUCGCCGGUGCCUCCUCCUUCGCCCCCUCCUCACCUCCCUCCUCAAGAAACAGAACAACAUGACGCAGAUGCUGCAGCACAUGGUGAUCCCGGAGCGGCCCAUGUUCUACCCGGAGUACCCGCCGCAGGAGCCGGAGCAAGGGGUGGUGACGCUGGAGGAAGACAGGGACCCUGUGGAGAGAGUUGAGGAAGCACUGCAGUGCCUCGCUCAAGAUCUACUUUGAGAGCAUCCUCGACACCAGCAGCAAGAAACCUCCUCCUCAACGCGUCUGUCCCCGACAAGCCCUCUUUACCAGAGGAGGUGGAGGAGCAGGCCACCAUCCCUCUUCGCACCUGCCUCCUCUCUCCUCCAGCGCAUGGAGGGGAUAACUGAUGGCUACUUCCCCCUCCCCUCCUAGCCUUGCGGGCAUACGUGGUUCACCCGUCCGAUACUGCACGGCCUCUGCACCCUGGGGUUCGCGGCCCGGGCGGUCAUCAAGUCGUUCUGCAACGGGGAUCCAACGGCUGUGCAGAACAUAUUUGGCGGGUUCCUGCUGCAUGUCUACCCCGGCGAAACGCUGGUCACCGAGAUGUGGGUCGAUGGCUAGAGGGUGCAGUACCAGACCAAGGUGAAAGAGCGCGACCGCGCCGUGCUCUUCGGAUACGUGCUGCUCAAACAACACAUCCCCUCAUCAUUGUGAUCGUUGGUGUUGUCGCUGUUGUUGUCAUGGGAUCAGUGCCUCACCACUUCAAUGGCAUGAUUCUUGGCCCAAGGCAGCCUUUGUAUGGAGGUGUCCAUUGUAUUGUUGGGAUAGUAGCAGAUGUGCCAUUGUUCUAUUGUGUAAUUCUGUCCGUUCUUGCUAUAUUCCUGUGUAAAGAAAUGUAUUCAAGAGAUGAGUUAUUGUGUUAUGUAAACCUGGGAGAUGUAUUAUGUGAUGUUAUAUGAUGCUUGAUUUUAAUUCAACUUGAAGCUUUCUUGAUUUAAA